rnacentral:lncRNA from 1 species
CAUGCCACCAUGGCUUUGUAAAUGCAAGGCCCUUUGCUUAGAGUAUGCCCCCUCCAUUCCAUCUCUCUACACAACAAACUCUCAUUCAUUCUUCAAGGCUAAGAGCAUGCAUAUAUCACUUUUUCCAUGAAGCCUGCACCAUCUCUCUUGUGUAGAGUUGGAAAAAUGCUUCCUGAGUGCCCUCAUCUUCAUUGCACCCUGCUGCUGUCAUAUUUAUUCAGGCACAUAUAAGCUCUAGUGAGCCAGGACAGUUCUUCAUUCACUUCUGAUUGCUAGUACCUAGCAUAGGGCUUAACCCAGAGUAAGUGUCUAGUAAAUGUUUCUGGAUAAACUGAAUUGGGAAUCAUCUCAUACUGGAGCUAGGUAUUGGGGGUUGGGACCCGUUGAAACCGAAAUGGGCUUGUUAAACUUUAGGAUCCUGUGAGGAUGCCAGAGUUACUGGGAUUGCUUGUUUCUGAAAACUGAUGAGAUCUGAGUGGACAAAUAGACAGGACUUUGAGCCACAGCCAGCUCAGGUCACCAGGCCAGCCAACUUGGCCAUGGCCUACGAUGGUAGCAGAAAAGGAAGGAAAGGGCCUUCAGGGCUACCUGGAGGUUGGAAAAACUUACAUAGCUAUUUCAUUGUGAUGGCAGAACAGCCUGCCUGCUUCUUUGUCCACUGGUCUGUCUGUGUAUCCCCAAGCCAGACUCUACCUGGAUGUAUAGGUACUCAAAAGCAGCAGGAUCCCGACGCAGCAGCUCCACAGGGUCUUUGGGAAAGAAGCUUAUUCGGAAGAGGCAUUUCAUUCCAUGAUAGUGUGUCCGCUGUACCACAUAAGCCAGGGGUUGCUUGUCCUGAAGAAGCAGAAACUUGUGAUUCUGUUCUGGCCCGGCAUACUCAAGGACAAGAGCAAAGUGCUCAAUGAACCUCAGGGAAAGGCGGUCCUGUAAUGUCAACAUCACAUCCUUAACAGUGGUCCGACCAUCAAAUGUGAAUGACUUGAUCUGCCCAUUUUCUAAGAAAACCUUCAGGACAUUAGGGAUGAGGAGGAGAGCUUCCUUCUUCAUCAUUUUUGCAUCUGUUUCUCCAACUGCCACCUGCUCAGAAAAUCGAACCUUCACAGGAUUGGACCUCAACUUGGCCUUCUUCGCAGCACUGAUGAAAGCAGAUUUGGGGGACUGGAAAAAGAACAGAGAGAUGGUCUUCAUGGCCCUGCAACUUCCUCUUCAGCUGAGCUUGGAGAGGCAUCGUCUGGAAAACAUGGUGGUAUCUGGAUUCUUUUUCUGGUUGUCCAAACAGUUGCUUUUCCCCAGUGGGCUGGAAUGGAGACACCUGUCACCCAUUCUAGCAGGUCAGGAGGGAGCAGGGGGAGAGACCAAGGUCAUCUUUCCUUUCACAAAUACCUGGAAACCUGGAGUCACCUUGCAAAAGACCAACCCCAUAAUGCUUCAAAGAGGGAACUGCAGAGGACCCUCUAUACAGCUGUCCCCUCCCCUGUCCCCUCCUCCCUCCUGAAGCUAUAGUCAAUAAAUUCAGACAUGUUGUCUAAU